CCUUAUCAUUUAGAGGAAGGAGAAGUCKUAACARGGUUUCCGUAGGUGAACCUGCGGAAGGAUCAUU
rnacentral:rRNA from 1 species